rnacentral:ncRNA from 1 species
UCCUAGCGACUGUAAAGAAUAGGAAGCAGGUGGUAUCCUCUGGGAUACCGCAACACGAUCGAAUUGCGGGGACAUCCUUAAGCCUGCCGGUACCAACCGUCCGCGGAGACGCGGUCGGGGCCUGUGUUAACAGCACGGGAGGUCAUAACCCGGGAGGAUAGAGUGGAUAAUCCGCAGCGAAGCCCCGUCUGGGGACCGCUCACAGACUAGGUGGUCGUGGGUAGGGUCUUACCCUACUUAAGAUAUAGUCGGCCUCUUGGUGAAAGCUGGGAGAAUCAAGCGUUCCGUAGGUGAACCUGCGGAAGGAUCAUUA